ensembl:misc_RNA Metazoa_SRP Metazoan signal recognition particle RNA
GCACGGUGGCACACGCCUAUAGUCGCAGCUACCCAGGAGGCUGAGGUGUGAGGAUGGCUUGAACCCAGGAGUUCUGGGCAGUAGUGAGCUAUGCUGAUUUGGUGUCUGCACCAGCAUCAAUAUGGUGACCUCCCAGAAGUGGGGGACCACCAGGUUGCCAAGGAGAGGUGAAGUGGCCCAGGUGAGAAACAGAGCAGGUCAAAACUCCCUUGCUGAUUGGUAUGGGAUAGCACCUAUGAAUAGCCACCACACUCCAGCCUGGGCAACAUAGUGAGACCCUGUCUCUA